rnacentral:lncRNA from 13 species
GUAACAGAUUAUUGCUGUCUUAAAUUUAGCGGUUUUAAAGAACAAACAUACGUUAUCUCACAGUUUCAUGGUUCAGGAAGUUGGGAGCAUCUCAGUGGGUGGUUCCGGCUCAAGUCUCUCAUGCAGUUGCCAUCAAGCCAUUGGCCAAGGCUGCAGUGACAUCUGAAGACCUAGCUGGGCUUCUGAGUUCAAUCAUGUACUUGCUGGGAGGAUGCUGGAUUCUUGCUGGCUGUUGGCGGGAGACUUCAGUUCCUACCAUGUGAGUUUCUCGUAGCAAGUCAGCAGCUUACUCAAAAACAAGGGAGAGGGAAAGACAGAAAGAGAAUCCAAUACAGAAGUCACAGUCUCUUUUAAUAACAUGAUCUUAGAAGUGACAUAGCAUCUUGUCUGCUGUGUGUUGUUGGUCACCACCUUUAGUACAAUAUGGAAGGAAUCUACACCAGGGUGAGAAUACCAGGGGCAAAGGGUCAUUGGGAAUAAUCUCAGAGGCUGCUAACUAUAUCCCUGCUUAAUAUUCUCAGCACAAGGUGAAAACCUGUAACAACUAUUGUUUUGUUAGAUGGGAGAAUCCAUUCACCCAUCUAAUAACUUGCAGGAACAUACCAUUGUUAUCAUGUGGCUGUUGUACCAUAUGAAAGCCUGGACGAGGUGAUCUGUGGCUCCUCCCAGCUCAGGGAUGAAGGCUCUAUACCCCUUUUUUAUCCAGUUUAAAAUGAUACCAGGACAGACUGGGGUCUUUUCUGGUACAGACAGGAGAUAUCUACUGAGCUGGCACCUUGAGCACUGUUUAUGUUUAUUUGUGACUGGAAGAGAGACGAACUUGGCUCUAGGAGGGCAGCUGAGGACAGGGACUGAGAGACUCAAAGUAUCCAGAAGGAAGCUGAGGUGGAAAUCUGCAGAGACAUCAGGAAACACACCUGUUAGCCACAGGGACGGAGAGGAUCCUGGACUGCAGUGCAGAGUGGCAUCACAUGGUAUAGAAAGCGGAUCCAAGAAAGAGCCCGGUUCCCUGGCUGAAGUGACUAUUCUUGACUCACAUAAUCUUUGAGGAUCUAGCUCCUGUGGCCAGCAUGUCAGGGCAGCUCUCCUAUGGGCUGCUCUGCAACCUGAUCUCCAGCUACUGAUGUCCAUUGCACCUGCUUCCCCCAGAACAUAUAAUAGUUUGCUUCUCUGCCUCUCCUCAUUGUAAGAAUACUCCAAGACUUUGGGCUGCUCACAAACCGAUGCCUGGCACUGUGUACUCUUUAACGAUGGGCACCUUCAGCAUUCCUCAGACACGAUGCAGUGGAGACAGAGGAACUGGGCACAUUUCAGAAUGCCUUACUGAGUGUCUACAAAAACCACCUGUAAAAAAGACUUAAGUCAUCAUAAGCCAGUAAGAUGUGUAGAAAUCUUACAGCUAUGUUUGCAUGUUGAUGUAACACUCUAAUUAAAUAUAUCCAUGAUGUGGUUGUGAGUUUACCAAAUGGAUUACAUGAAAAAUAUUAAUUCAUGGGUCACAUCAGC